UACGUAGGUGGCGAGCGUUGUCCGGAAUUACUGGGUGUAAAGGGCGUGUAGGCGGGGAUAUAAGUCAGAUGUGAAAUUCCUAGGCUUAACUUAGGGACUGCAUCUGAAACUAUAUUUCUUGAGUGCUGGAGAGGAAAGCGGAAUUCCUAGUGUAGCGGUGAAAUGCGUAGAUAUUAGGAGGAACACCAGUGGCGAAGGCGGCUUUCUGGACAGUAACUGACGCUGAGGCGCGAAAGCGUGGGGAGCAAACAGG
rnacentral:rRNA from 1 species